rnacentral:rRNA from 1 species
UACAGAGGUCUCAAGCGUUGUUCGGAUUCAUUGGGCGUAAAGGGUGUGUAGGUGGCGCCGUAAGUCGGUUGUGAAAUUUCGGAGCUUAACUCCGAAACUGCAUUCGAUACUGCGGUGCUUGAGGACUGGAGAGGAGACUGGAAUUCAUGGUGUAGCAGUGAAAUGCGUAGAGAUCAUGAGGAAGACCAGUGGCGAAGGCGGGUCUCUGGACAGUUCCUGACACUGAGACACGAAGGCCAGGGGAGCAAACGGG